CUUUAUAGUUUACAGCUGGGCUUCAAGUAAUAUGUAUGCAUAUAGGAGGGGUUAUCAAAUAUAUUUUUAGGUUAAAGUCUCUGGUCAAUUCGCAACCCUGUCUCUGCCACAUGUAUAGAGUAAUUACUCACUUUGCUGGUGAAACAACUUCAAAACAAAACCGUCUGUCAGCAUCAGGACACAAUUUUACUGCACAGAGUCGAAGAUCAACCACCACAACAGUUAGAACAUCCUGCGCAAAAACAAAACAUCAUGCAAUUUUCAAAAAUGUAAUAUUCAUCAUAAUACAACACAAUCACAGCCACAAUGAACACAUAGUGAACAAGCAUAACAUUACAG